UGGGGAAUAUUGCACAAUGGGCGCAAGCCUGAUGCAGCCAUGCCGCGUGUAUGAAGAAGGCCUUCGGGUUGUAAAGUACUUUCAGCGGGGAGGAAGGUGUUGAGGUUAAUAACCUCAGCAAUUGACGUUACCCGCAGAAGAAGCACCGGCUAACUCCGUG
rnacentral:rRNA from 1 species